rnacentral:misc_RNA from 1 species
GAUGAAGAACGUAGCGAAAUGCGAUAAGUAAUGUGAAUUGCAGAAUUCAGUGAAUCAUCGAAUCUUUGAACGCACCUUGCACCCUUUGGCAUUCCGAAGGGUAUGCUCGUUUGAGUGUCAUUGUACUCUCACACUCCUACUCUUUUGGAUUGGGAGCGGUGGACUUGGGUGUUGCUGCUUCACUGUGGCUCGCCUCAAAUGGAGUAGUGCAACUCUCGGUUGGACAUAGUACGGCGUGAUAAGUGUCUUCGCCGGCGCCUCACUAGAGGGUGGCCGAUCGGGAGCUCUGUGCUUCAAACCGUCUUCGGACAAUCUCUGACAACUUGACCUCAAAUCGAGUAGGACUACCCGCUGAACUUAAGCAUAUCAAUAAGCGGAGGA